rfam:Clostridium acetireducens DSM 10703 CLAC_contig000045, whole genome shotgun sequence.
AUUUGAAUAAAUUUUAGACACUCUUAGAAGAAAAAAUAAAAAAACUCCGUAAUUCGUCACAGGACGUGACGAGCCAAUUUCCGCCCCAAGGACGGGGCAUAAAUUGGGUAGGAGUUUUUUUAUUUUUUAUUCUUAGAGUGUCUUAAUGAAAUGACUU